GACGGGACCGCACAAGCGGUGGAUGAUGUGGAUAAUUCGAUGCAACGCGAAAACCUUACCUACCCUUGACAUGUCUGGAACCUUGCUGAGAGGCGAGGGUGCCUUCGGGAGCCAGAACACAGGUGCUGCAUGGCUGUCGUCAGCUCGUGUCGUGAGAUGUUCGGUUAAGUCCGCUAACGAGCGCAACCCUCACUGUGUGUUAUAUGUGUCACACGGGACUGCCGGUUUUAAGCCGGAGGAAGGUGGGAUGACGUCAAGUCAGCAUGGCCUUUAUAUCCUGGGCUACACACGCUACAAUGGUCGGUACAAUAGGUUGCCAAGCCGCGAGGCGGAGCCAAUCCACAAAGCCGGCCUCAGUUCAGAUUGUAGGCUGCAACUCGCCUGCAUGAAGAUGGAGUUGCUAGUAACCGCAGGUCAGCAAUACUGCGGUGAAUACGUUCCCGGGUCUU
rnacentral:rRNA from 1 species